rnacentral:lncRNA from 1 species
UGAAAAUACAGCUGGCUGGCCUUGGGAGUUUGUCAGAAGCAUAAAUAUGUCAAACAACAGGCCAGGAAGACCCCAACAAUAUAAAAUUGUCAAAGUUCCAAGAAUAGUAAGAAGCAGAUAAGAGCCAUACAUGCAGGCAAAAUUCCAAGGAUAAGGGGCUGGAAAACCGGGCUUACAGAAAAGUAUUUAAAGCCCAGCCUGUCAGAAGCAACUCGGAACUCUGAUGGUAGAAGUUCCCACUGAUGCGCGUAUCAGUUUUCACAAUAAAGGGCCUUAUCCGUGUCUGAUUACAUUGCCCGAGAUCUUUCCUUGGUGGUGGGUGAAUUCCCGGACCUUAACACCACAUGGUUAUGUUCCUACCUGCUGAGCCCAGCAUGGAUACUAUAAACUGAACCAAUGAGAAGGAAAAGGGAUUUGCCCUUCCCUUGUUCUUCCUCUAUGCCCAACUUCAAGAAAUGGGUCUACAGGUUGUCAGUUGUGUUGGAACUACUCACAACUCUUCCUUGAGGGGCAGGAGAAUGGAACACACCUCACCAGGUCUGAAAGAGUGCAGAGAUGCUGGUUUCUUGGUGGUUGUGGAGGAGAAGGGUUGGGAUUCUUCAUUGGAGAGGAUGAUAAUUGACAGGAAGAAGGAGGCUCAGUCUAGCCCAAAGAGGGUGACCUGAGGCAAAUUGUUUAACCAGUAAAGUGCUGCUGAGGUGAAACAUCAAGAGCUUAUUUAAUAGCCCUAUAAAAAGUUUUGUUUUAUUAGGUUUAAACUUUAACUUCCUGAAGGAGUAGAAGUUAUCGCUGCUUGUUUUUGAUGUCAGUUUGAGCUUGUUUAGCAUUUGUUGCUCUCCUAUACCUGAUCUACAUUGUACAUUGGAUACUUUGCUGCUUCCUUCUUUUGGGGAGAUAUAAACCAAAGGAAAACUUUAAGUGCUUUCUUCCAGGGCCCCAAGGGGUAGGGUAUAAAGAACCAAAGAAACAAGCCAAAAGAGCCUGGCACCCUUCUUUUAGGUGACUGAAGGACGGAACCCAAGACAAGCCUUUGUGGGUCUAGAACUGAGAGGAGCUCCUCAUUGAGCUAGGGAGAGGGACAGUGCUCGGUUUUUAUUCUUAUAUACAGAAAGGGGACUGAUAAUGAGAUUUUAAACUAACGAUAAAAACUUGAUCAUGCACCAUGACCUUUUGAUGAUCUUCAGGUGAAUGAGAUGCG